rnacentral:rRNA from 1 species
UUGAACGCUGGCGGAAUGCUUUACACAUGCAAGUCGAGCGGCAGCGCGGGGCAACCUGGCGGCGAGCGGCGAACGGGUGAGUAACGUAUCGGAACGUACCUAUUUGUGGGGGAUAACGCAGCGAAAGUUGUGCUAAUACCGCAUAAGUCCUGAGGGAGAAAGCUGGGGAUCGCAAGACCUAGCGCGAAUAGAGCGGCCGAUAUCUGAUUAGCUAGUUGGUAGGGUAAAGGCCUACCAAGGCGACGAUCAGUAGCUGGUCUGAGAGGACGACCAGCCACACUGGGACUGAGACACGGCCCAGACUCCUACGGGAGGCAGCAGUGGGGAAUUUUGGACAAUGGGGGGAACCCUGAUCCAGCCAUUCCGCGUGAGUGAAGAAGGCCUUCGGGUUGUAAAGCUCUUUCGGCAGGGAAGAAAAGGCGGGCUCUAACAUAGCCUGUUCAUGACGGUACCUGAAGAAGAAGCACCGGCUAACUACGU